rnacentral:rRNA from 1 species
UCGGGGUACACGAGCGGCGAACGGGUGAGUAACACGUGGGUGAUCUGCCCUGCACCUGGGAUAAGCUCUGGGAAACUGGGUCUAAUACUGGAUAUGACCUGCAUCUCGCAUGGGGGUGGGUGGAAAGAUUUAUCGGUGCAGGAUGGGCCCGCGGCCUAUCAGCUUGUUGGUGGGGUAAUGGCCUACCAAGGCGACGACGGGUAGCCGACCUGAGAGGGUGACCGGCCACACUGGGACUGAGACACGGCCCAGACUCCUACGGGAGGCAGCAGUGGGGAAUAUUGCACAAUGGGCGGAAGCCUGAUGCAGCGACGCCGCGUGAGGGAUGAAGGCCUUCGGGUUGUAAACCUCUUUCAGCAGGGACGAAGCGUGAGUGACGGUACCUGCAGAAGAAGCACCGGCUAACUACGUGCCAGCAGCCGCGGUAAUACGUAGGGUGCGAGCGUUGUCCGGAAUUACUGGGCGUAAAGAGUUCGUAGGCGGUUUGUCGCGUGUUUGUGAAAACCCGGGGCUCAACUUCGGGCUUGCAGGC